rnacentral:rRNA from 1 species
GACGAACGUUGGCGGCGUGCUUAACACAUGCAAGUCGAACGGAAAGGCCCUGCUUUUGUGGGGUGCUCGAGUGGCGAACGGGUGAGUAACACGUGAGUAACCUGCCCUUGACUUUGGGAUAACUUCAGGAAACUGGGGCUAAUACCGGAUAGGAGCUCCUGCUGCAUGGUGGGGGUUGGAAAGUUUCGGCGGUUGGGGAUGGACUCGCGGCUUAUCAGCUUGUUGGUGGGGUAGUGGCUUACCAAGGCUUUGACGGGUAGCCGGCCUGAGAGGGUAACCGGCCACAUUGGGACUGAGAUACGGCCCAGACUCCUACGGGAGGCAGCAGUGGGGAAUAUUGCACAAUGGGCGGAAGCCUGAUGCAGCAACGCCGCGUGCGGGAUGACGGCCUUCGGGUUGUAAACCGCUUUCGCCUGUGACGAAGCGUGAGUGACGGUAAUGGGUAAAGAAGCACCGGCUAACUACGUGCCAGCAGCCGCGGUGAUACGUAGGGUGCGAGCGUUGUCCGGAUUUAUUGGGCGUAAAGGGCUCGUAGGUGGUUGAUCGCGUCGGAAGUGUAAUCUUGGGGCUUAACCCUGAGCGUGCUUUCGAUACGGGUUGACUUGAGGAAGGUAGGGGAGAAUGGAAUUCCUGGUGGAGCGGUGGAAUGCGCAGAUAUCAGGAGGAACACCAGUGGCGAAGGCGGUUCUCUGGGCCUUUCCUGACGCUGAGGAGCGAAAGCGUGGGGAGCGAACAGGCUUAGAUACCCUGGUAGUCCACGCUGUAAACGGUGGGUACUAGGUGUGGGGUCCAUUCCACGGGUUCCGUGCCGUAGCUAACGCUUUAAGUACCCCGCCUGGGGAGUACGGCUGCAAGGCUAAAACUCAAAGGAAUUGACGGGGCCCCGCACAAGCGGCGGAGCAUGCGGAUUAAUUCGAUGCAACGCGUAGAACCUUACCUGGGUUUGACAUGGAUCGGGAGUGCUCAGAGAUGGGUGUGCCUCUUUUGGGGUCGGUUCACAGGUGGUGCAUGGCUGUCGUCAGCUCGUGUCGUGAGAUGUUGGGUUAAGUCCCGCAACGAGCGCAACCCUUGUUCACUGUUGCCAGCACGUUAUGGUGGGGACUCAGUGGAGACCGCCGGGGUCAACUCGGAGGAAGGUGGGGAUGACGUCAAGUCAUCAUGCCCCUUAUGUCCAGGGCUUCACGCAUGCUACAAUGGCUGGUACAGAGAGUGGCGAGCCUGUGAGGGUGAGCGAAUCUCGGAAAGCCGGUCUCAGUUCGGAUUGGGGUCUGCAACUCGACCUCAUGAAGUCGGAGUCGCUAGUAAUCGCAGAUCAGCAACGCUGCGGUGAAUACGUUCCCGGGGCU